rnacentral:lncRNA from 1 species
GUUUCAUCGGGACUCGGGGGGCCGCAAGGAACCCUCUGAAGCUGAAGCUCGCUUCGGGUGGAAGGUUCACCUGGUAAGGAUCACACUAUCCCCACCUUUGAGGACUGCAGAUGGAUGUUUACGUGUGAUUUGUCCUUGUGCAUGGCUGUGGGAGAAGCUUCGAGAGGAAUUGGCUGCGCACCGACCUCAACGUGAUCGGGUUCGGUUUGAUCGGGUGGCUCGCGCCGUCGAGCAUUCCGGCGAUCGGUGGGAAGAGCUUGACGGGGCUCUUCUUCGAGAGCAUCGGCACUGAGCUGGCUCACUGGCCGACAGGCCCAGCUCUCACAUCGCAGUUCUGGUAAGAACUGGUUCCUUCCCGAGGACGACUAGGUUAGAUUCAUGGCUCAUCUUCUUGCUCUGAUCGAGUUGUUUGGGAUGAUGCUGCAGGCUGUGGAUGGUAACAUGGCACCUGGGGCUGUUCCUUUGCCUCACCUUCGGCCAGAUUGGCUUCAAAGGCAGGACCGAGGACUACUUCCCAUAGAAAGAUCUUGUAGACUCGGUGGUGGUUCCUCUCUUUGUAUAUGAGACUUGUUUCUCUCUUCUUCCUCUCCUCCUCUUCUUCUUCUUCUUCUUCCUCAGUUAUGCCAUCUCUGAUCUGUUGAGAUGUAAGGAGAUACAAAUGGACUGAAUGCAUACCACAGAUGAGAAGGGCAUCAAAUCUAAAACAGGUGUUGUGAGGUGUUAUUUUCCACCAGUAUGUGUGUAUCUCUUGGCGUAUGAUAAUUAGAUUAUUGGUUCCAAAAUGCAUCAGAUUCUUCAAAUAUUAGAUCUGGAAAUGCCAUAUCAAUGGAUGUCCAAAUAGAGAUCAAAAGCCAAAAUGAGCAGAUUACAUCUUUAUUAAGAUAAAUUAUUGUAGCAGCCACCCACAGGUUUUCUUCAUAAGCUCAUCAAUCUGAAGAGUCAGAUUAGUGCUUUUAAGCUUUGAGAGAUGUGAGUGACAAUUUAUAGAUUUGGCAAUUUGGAUUCCAUAUUUAUGGAUUCCAAAUAUUGCCUGAUUUAUAGAUUAGGCAAUAUGAAAUCCAAAUAUUUGGAUUUGGAUAGUUAGGCAAUUUAUAGAUUUAAAUAAAAUUCGUGAGUAUUUUAUCCAUUAUAAUCAAUUUUUUAUAAAAAUAAAUAAUUUUUGAGAUAAUUAAAAAAUAUUCCUUUAGAAAUUAAUUAAAAACCUUUCUAAAAAAUAUAUUUAAAGAAAUUGUGGGUUUAAAAUGAGGUAUUGAGAUAAGACAGUCUCUCUGCUUUCCAAAACAUUCCGACGCCCGACUUCGCAACACACGAUGGCGUCUUCUGCAGCGGCCAUCGCCGCCGCCCUCUCCUCCUUCUCCCUUCGCCCCCCCUUCCCAUCGCAGCAGCCUCCUCCUCCUCCUCCUCCUCAAACCCCUCCAUUUCCCCCCGCUCCUCUCCUCCUCCGUCCCCCACCGAAUCCUCCCCAACUUGGCCGGCCGACUUCGACACCUCCUUCUUCGACAACGUCAACCCCAACGCAGACAUCGUCUUAAACGCCCCGGCUCCUCCGAAGGGAUAUGUCCCCCAGCCCGCCUUCGACGAGCUGCCCCAUGAGUCCGAGGAGGAGGUCGCCGCCGCCCAUGAGGAGAUCUAUGGCCCCGCGAACAGCGGUGAGUCCGUGCUCGGCAACGACGUCUACGUCAUGGAAGCCAAAGUCAAGAAGGCCUGCGACCUCCUCGGCCGGAAGAAGCGGGACAGGCCCAAUGACGGGUUCGAGGAGCGAGUCGUCCAGGUGAGAAGGGUCACCGAGGUCGUCGUCAAGGGAGGAAAGAAUCUCCCCUUUCGGGUCAUCGUGGUGGUCGGGGACAAGAAGAUGCAGGUUGGCGUUGGGGUCGGGAAGGCCAAGGAGGUGGUCGAUGCCAUCGCCAAGUCCGCCGUGAACGACCUGAGAAACAUUGUGUCGGUGCCCGUAACCAAGUACUUGACCUUCCCUCACAGGUGAAUUACUACUGCAAAGUUAGAAUUUUGAUUCAUGAUUUCUUGUUACAAUGUUUGCUUCAAAUUGCUUGUUAUGUUUAUUUCAAAAGAAAUUGUUUGUUGUUAUAGUUGUUCUGUUUGGAGGAAUCAUAGAAGUUACAUCUAAAGCCAACUCUUUAUGUCAAUAUGGUGAAAUCGCACUUGGUGUCAAUGCCAAGAUGUGUUCGAUAUUUGAGUGUUAGUAUCAUGUCUUUAUGUUGUAUCUGAUGAUUUUGGGACUGGAACGAAAGCAGUCUUGAGGAAAAUAAAAUGCGAUGACUGAUGCUUAGGUAUCACGCCGCUAAUGUCUUUAAAAUGUUACAAUACUUAAAUCUCAUAAAUGUUACAAAAGCUAUAGACAUAUCUCAAUAUGUCUCGUGAAAAUGAUUUUUUGCUUCUAUUGCAUAUUUUUUAUUAUUCCAUUUUGAAUGACUUUUGCAUGCUAUAAAUUUCGAUAAUGUUGGGCAUGAGAUAAAUAAUAUGACUAUUUGAAGUUUUGGGUUUUUUUGUCCAUUCUAUUUUAUUUCUAUUUCUUUCUAAUCAUUGAUAUUCUUAUUCUUUCCCGGCAAAGUGUUUCUAUAUUCCAAGUUACUAUGGUCCUAAAAUAACUUCUUUGUUCACACUAGUUUAACAUAUUGCCAGAAUCAUAUUGUAGUUUGGACCUCCUAAUUAGUCCGUUUUGCUUUAGCACAUUUGAGUGAUGAGAUUUCUUGCAUCUCUUUUGGAUAAUGAUUUAGCCAUAUAGUGAAAUCAAUUAAGAUUCAAGCUCAUGAGUUUUGAUAAAAGUUAUAUGCUUUCAUCAAUAGCCUAGUAAAAACAUAGGUGAAUGUCAUAAAGAAAGGGAACAAUUAAGGAUUUUCAUUUGCGUGGACAUUGUUCCAAUGGUCUUGAUUCACCAACAUAGAUCCAAAGGCAUCCUCCCCAGACCAAGACUCGGCCUAAAAGGCUUACAAAAGCUAGGUAUAUCAGUCAAAAUUGUCAGCCCUGAUCCUUAAUGGGCACCACAACACUUUGGUGGUACACUGUAGUUCUUGAUGUCCAUUCAGUACUUUUUAUGACGCAACAGCCUCAUUAUUGUUAUGUCCAUCUAAUGCUCCUGAUAGGUUGAUGAUCAGACACCAGUUGAUAUGACAGUAGAGCUCAGGCUUACAAAAGCUAGGUCUAACAGUCAAAAUUGUCAGCCCUGAUCCUUAAUGGGCACAACACUUUGGUGGUACACUGUAGUUCUUGAUGUCCAUUCAGUACUUUCUACGACGCAACAGCCUCAUUAUUGUUAUGUCCAUCUAUGCUCCUGAUAGGAUGAUGAUCAGACACCAGUUGAUAUGACAGCAGAGCUCAAUUUUACCCGGAAUAGAAGGUUGCAGCAUGAUCUUUCUUAAUUAGAUGAAGCCUUCAAAUUGAGUCUAAAGCUGAUAAGAUGGGAACAUAGUUUAUGCCACUUGAGUGGCACUCCUCAAAAAAGGCUGGUCAACCCUUGUAAGAAGGGUUCCAGCCAAACCAGGAGAAUUGACUGGGUGCUCACCCCUCCCCCACUCCCAGCAAGAGAAGCCGGCACACAACCCCUGCCUUAAAAGACGUGGUCAAUAAAGAUCAGUAAGUGUUGGCUAAGAGGAUGAGGUAGUGGCUAUUAGUCCCACUUCACUUGGGAACAUGCGUGAGUUAGAAAGAUAGUUCGUAAUGAAAUCAUUUUGUUAUCCUAUGAGGCAUCACAACUUGAUCACACUUCUAGUUAUCAAUAUUCUCUUUUUUUAUAAUUCUUCUCUCUCUCUCUCUCUCUCUUCUAUCCAAAGAAGAAGGUGCUUGAUAUGUGGUGUUAUAUGCUGUCAUUAUGUCUUACCAUCAUCAUGCACAUUAACAACUUCUGUCCUACAUGGCUUGGGUAGCAAAAAAACAAUAUACAAGAAUUUCAAGCAGCCAGUAACUAACUGUUGGAGUUGAGACCCGACAAGCAUGAAUACGAUGAAUUCCUAUUUUGUUUCAUCAGUGUAGCUACCAUAAAAGAACUUGAUGUGAAACCCAAAAUGUGAGAUGCCCCAAUCCUAACUUAACAUUGCAUUCUCUGCUGGCAAAACUGAUACUACUUUUAUCUGUAUAUCUUCACUAAUUAGACAUCAUAUGAUAGAUGGAUUUUUUUAUCAGAUUUUAUUUUUUAUCAUUUGGAGUUGGCACAUUAUGGCUCAUUGUUAUUGUUGUCGUCAUAUUUUUUUAUCAUUUGCAUUUAUUUUUGCUUUAACUAAUAGCGGGAAUCAUCCGUCUGGGGUGUUGUGCCCAUGCUUCCAUUGUGAUAAGUUAUUAAUAGCUUUUCUUUACUAUUUUCCACUUCAGAAGUUGAUAAAGUAGUAUAGAUGCUAUGGAUGAACAUCUUCGAACUUUUCAUUCAGUUAGAAUAUAAUAACAACAACAACAAAAUCGUAAGUCUCAACUAUUUGACGUUGACUACAUGGAUCUUUUGUUGCCUGAGAUAUGUAAAAUGUCAUGUUUAGUUAAGCUCAUAGUACUUAAAUAUUUAUUUAUUAUUUCUAUUAAAAUCUUUUUAGGUCUUCCUCUAUCACUUAUCGUACUACUAACAUUAAUUAUCACUUCUUUUGACUAUUGCAUCCGGAGAUCUUCUCAUCACAUGCCUAUACCAUCUUAAAUGAUUUUCACUUAUUUUAUCCUUUAUCGAAACGAUACCUAGCUGUUCAUAAAUAAAAGCAUUUCUUUUCUUAUCUUUCUUAGUAACUCCACACAUCCAUCUCAACAUUAUCAUCUCGACAACACAAGUUUUUUGUAUAUAUUUUUUCUUAACUACUCCGUACUCAAUUAGAAUAAUCUUAUAAAAUUAAAUCUUCAAUGUUGUGUAACUAUGUGUUUUGCUUUUGUAGCAAGUGAAUGCAUUUUGUUUUUCUAAUUAUUUAAUGUAGAUAAUUAUCUGACACAUAGGAUGCAUUUGGUGUUUCUAAAUAUUUUUAUUUGUGAACAACUAGGUAUUGUUUCGAUAAAGAAUAAAAAUAGAUAAAAUCAUUUAAGAUGGUAUGGGCAUGUGCAUAGGACAUAUCCGAAUGCAGUAGUAUGAAAUAAUUAAUGUUAAAGGUACAAGAAGAGGUAGAGGAAGACCUAAAAAAUUUUAAUAGAAACUAUAAAUAAAGAUUUAAGUACUCUGAACUUAACUGAACAUACAGUUUUUUACAUAUUUCAAUGACGACAAAAGAUCCAUGUAGCCAAUCUCAAAUAGUUGGGACUUACGGUUUUGUUGUUGCUAUUGUUGAAUUAUCUAACAUAUAGAACAUAUAUUAUGCAUGGUAAUUGUUUAUUUAUUGCAUUUGAACCUGUGGAUGAUAUUGGUGAAUAUGCAAACUUUCUUGACAAUCUUGGUACUUUUGAUGUGAAAAGAGUUGCAAAAUGAACUAUUCUUCAAUUUCCAUACGAGGGCACUGCAAUUUGCAUCAAACAUCUCUUGAUACAGGAUCCUCAAUUUUCAUUACAGGAUCCAAGUGUUGUCUACUCGAUGCAGUUAUGCAGGAACACAGGCUAUCUGUAACAUUCUCAAGAGCCUUUCUGGGUUUGUAAUUAGCUGAGAAUAACUUUGAAAUGGAAGUUUGGAUUAUUUCCUACAUAGCAUUUUAUGCGUGAUAGAUCCAUGUAAGUCAUGUAAAGGAGGUUAAAUUUGAAAUUAUUGAGCUGCAUAUACCUGGAUGAUGGUGCUGAUAAUAUGACAUUAAAAUGCAGCAAAGACUAGACUAUGUAAAUGGUAUGUAUAGUGCAAAAUGAAAACCCUUGGAGCUCUGUGGUAACAAAACAACAGCAGAUGUCAAAUAUGUAGCACCCUUUGUUACUCCAUGAAGGAGAUGAUAAUUUUCUUGGCAUACCUGGAUUUGAUAUCCUUGUUGCCUAAAGAACAUAUCUGUUGAAUGCUGAUGUCCACCAAACUGUGUUUUGUGAUUUCUUUUGGUCUUCCACAUUGAAUUUAAUUUGGUUUGUAUGAUACCAUAAGAAUCUGUUUGUUGAAUAUGAAUGUCUAGCAAAUUGUGAUUUAUGGUUUUUGUUUUUGACAAGGAAAAACUGUAACUAACUAAUAUUCUUAAUUUUAUUCACCAUCAUUAUCAGGAGAUCAAAUCUAACAAUUACUAACACCUAUAUAGUAACUAAUAUGACCAGAUUAUUGAUGAACAGGAGAAAUUAUUGAAAACUAAUUCCACAACCACAAGUCAUAAAACUAAAAGAUAAUUAUAUGGUAGUUACUUAGCUAAAGCUUUUGGAUUAUGAUGACAUCCAAAUAUCUUUUGCUUUUGUUUGAAUCCAUAUCUAAUGCUUUUAAAAGCUGCCUAGGAUGAACCCAUUUAGUUAAUGCCAUGUUUAGCCCUCUCAGUGACUCCCUCAAAUUUCCUUGUAUUUGCAUGCAUGUUUACAAGUUGUCAUGAGGUGUGUUGCCUUCAUGGGGGAAAAGAUGACCUUCUUCCAUUAAUUCAAGGCAAAGCCAAACAGAUCUGGACUCAUGAUGAACUUUUUCAAUGCUUUGCAUCUUGGAACCAUGCAACAAUGCAAUCCACUCAAUUAAUGCCUCAUCAAAGUUCAUCAAGAAAAAGAAAGAUUGAGGCCAAUCAAUGCCUUGGAAGUUUUCCCUUCCCCUCACAUUAAUAUCUUUGGCUCACUACCCCUUGAUGAGCCAUCUACAACCAAUGACAUUCACAUUCUAUAUGUCCUUCCACCACUACUCCUUCUCUACCCCCAAAUUAAGUUACACCUCCAAUUAAUGCCUUGCAUGUUUUUUAUUCCCUUCCACCAUUAAUCCUCUAAUUAAUUUCCUUAAGUCUUGUGGAGACAUAAUGGAUAGCACAUGGUGGGAUUUCCCAAUAUCACCAACUACAUAAAUACCCACUAUUUUACCAUUUCCAUCAUCAACUCAACAAGUGCUUGAGUAAUGAGGAUGACUUGGGGGGUCAUCUUUAAUUUCUGUCCUAAGUUGAUGAAUCAUGAUGGGUGACAUUAAAAAAGUUUGGCCUCAUAAUGGUUGUGCUAACCUUAAUUUUCCUUUUUUUGUUUUGUUUUUUGUUUUGUUUGGGGACUAAGUACUAAUGCCUCAUUUAAAUGACUAAUUCACCCCCAUUCACUUAUCAUAAUUAAUUGAUCACAUGGAAUGAGACAUGUAAACAUUUUCAAACUCUAUAAAUCUUGGAAUUGAUUGGAAUAUGAAUCAAAACAAAUGUCAUGACAUAUUAUUUUUUUAUUCAUUAUUUGAGAAAUCUCUCCAUGUGAAGGACUUUUUUUUUUAUUUUAAUCUCCUACAUGAUCUUUGACUUUUGAUAUAUAGCUCAUAGGCCUAUCUAUGCAAAUGAACAAGGUCAACCUUUGUGUCCUAGUUGCACUUGGUAAUUCAACUCAUGGCUUUAUUUGUGAUACCAAGAGAGAGAGAGAGAGAGAGAGAGAGAGAGAGAGACUUGGCUUUGCAUGCACCAAAGUCCACACAGAGUGACAUUAAUGAGUGCUCAGAGAGACAGAGAGAGAUUGACUUGGCUUUGCAUGCACCAAAGUCCACACAAAGUGACACUAAUGAAUGCUCGUCACUUCAUCGAUAAGAGAGGACAAAUCGAGCAAAGCUGCACGACUUUUAGCGCUACAUUAAAUUGGAAGCAAAGACCCAUUUGUUGGUGUGCAUAGCUCAUUGAUUGAUCGAGUGAUGCAUGCUCUACACAACAAAGAAGACCACAUCCCACGCUCACAAACACAGAGAAAGAGAGAGAGAGAGAGAGAGAGAGAGAGAGAGAGAGGGUUUCUUGUUAUGAUUGCGUGACUCGAAGGUAAGUCUUCUCUUUUCCUUUCCUUUUCGUGAGAAAAAUGCAUGAGUCAACUCUGCACGUUGUUGUUGCAUGAAGAAGGAAGGAGGGAAGGAAGGAAGAAUGGAGGUAGAAGAAAUGGAGUACCUGUAGCUUUGUAUUUAAUAGAAGCCAUUGACGCCUUCCAUUUCCCUCUAUAUUAAGGCUGGCGUUCUUCUUGGAUGUGGAGCAUUUCCGCUUGGUUGUGGAUUCAGAGGGAGGAGGAAGGAUGAGCUGCAGCCGGAGAAGCGAGAAGGUGGACCUGAAGCUGAACCUCUCGCUGCUGCCGACCGCCAGCGGCCGCGACGAGGCCUCUCCUCAGGGGUACGCUUCGUCCUCAUCGUUGUCGUCCCCGAGCUCGUGCUUGUCCUCGGAGGCUGAGCUGGGGCUGACGUCCCCGGUCAGCCCCACGGCGGCGCCGUCCAUGGUGCUCGCCGGCUGCCCGCGCUGCCUCAUGUACGUCAUGCUCUCCGCCGCCGACCUCAGGUGCCCCAAGUGCGGCAGCACCGUCCUCCUCGACUUCUACGGCGGCAGCGGCGCCGCGGUCACCACCACCACUGCCACUGCCACUGCCACCAAGAACAAGAAGAAGGCCAGGAUGAGCUAAGAUUGUUAGCAUGUCUCUUCAAUGUAAAUGGGACACCUUUGUGUUUGCUUCUGCAAGAGUCAAAAAGGUUUUCCACAACAGCAAGUCUCUAUCUCUGUGUUUGGUCUUAAUACUGUGAUGCAGGAUUCAUGAAACGAGCACUUCUCUUCAUAUUAGUGCUCGGAUUAGAUUUGUAGAAAUAGCUGAAAGGAGAAAUGAUGCAUUCAAGAAAUCCUUACAAUAAUAUAAUUCAUGGAUGCAAUGAAAAAAGACAUAUUUCUGAAGCUAUAUAAAGAGAGAUUUAUGUAUAACACAGAUUGUUGUGUAAAAUGAGAUGCAGUCUGGAAGAUUAGGGACACUGAAAACUUAAUGGAAAUCAAUCAAAAAAGAGAAUUUAAUGUGCUAGCAAUGGACAGACAGAGUUGAGAAUAUUAUUUGUGUAGAUAAGAUAAUAAAUACAAUCCAUUUGCACCCCUCACCUUUCUCUCUUCUUCUUCUUACACUCCACUUUGGAUAUAUACAAAGCAACAUUAUUGAUUGCAUGUUGUUGGUGUUCCACAGUUGAACAACAGCUCAGCUUUUCUUCCUUCUUCACCUCUCUGUAUAAAUCCAAAAAAACAAUCUAGUUUUGACUUUUGAGUGCAAAAUAACCCACAGCCAUGGAUAUCCUUCCUUUCAGGCAGUGCCUAAUUUUUCUUUUUGCUAUCCUCCCCACAAGUAGUCUUUAAAAUUUUCUUUUCUAUUUUUGUCAUUGUAAACUACAAAUAGAAUAACAGAAAACACAAGGAAGAUACAUUUUCACCAUCUAUAUACUCUCAGAUUUUCUUGACAAUUUUCCCUAAAUAAAUCCUCUUUUGAUCCAAAGGGCAUCUUUGUCACCCACCAACCCAUAUUUCUGCAAACUGCCCCACUUACCAAGACUUUGGUUGGACCAUAAGUAGAUACUUUUGACAUAACAAAACAAGUGAUGCAGAUCAAAGAGUUCUAGUCAAAGAACAUAAGUGGUAUAUACAGGAUAUUUUUCAAGGAAGAACAUGAGCAAAAUUAUAGCACAGCUGUCGAAUGUAACAUACACAAUGUAGUUUUCAGAGAAGACAAGAGACAAGUGAAGUCACAACCACCUUUGAAUAUUUGUUAUAUAGGCAUUCAUUUCACUGGAAAAUAUAGCACCACAUCAAGAUAGGAAAAGAAAAGGAACUUCUAUGUGCACCACAAAUCAACAUAAGAUUAGCUGAUAAACCAAGAGAGAGCCACAUAGCCAACCAUGCAGAUGACUACACACACCAACUAAGAAGUCCCUUGUAGGAAACGUAUCUGUUUUAUCUGGCUAGUGAUGUGUUAGUUGAAAGAGAGAAAUCAGAGACUUCAACUCUCCCCCUAAGAAUGCAUGUCCCUAACCAGCAGUUGUACAAACUACAAAGUGCCAUGUCGCCAAUAACUUGCAAUUUUGAUUUCAUCCUUCUAUAUAGUGAAGGUCAAACUCCUGAUUUCAUCCACAGGAAUUUGAUAUGGAUGAUGCCAGAGGCACCACAUGAAUCGCACACACAUCAGCAUAAGCACAUCAAUGCAUCACAUUAUGCCAAAUAAUUGAAAGAAGAGGUACCAAUUCAUUAUUCAUCCAUUUGGAGCAUUUAAAGUUUGAGGUCAGUGCAAAAAUAACAGAAAUGAAAACCAAUGGUAACAUAGAUGUAAAUUAUAGAAAAAGUUCUCUUUGGUCAUAACAUUAAAUCCAAGUUGCCAGGAUGACAAAUUAAUGGUUGAUGUGACAUGACAGUGGAGAAUCACAGCAAAAAAACAAAAAAGAAGCAUGAAAGCAGGCUUAGUAACAGGUACAAGAGUUGAUACCAGAGACAUUAAAACAGAUAAAGAAAUUCGUAAUAACUCAUCAUAUCAAAAAGCUUCUGAUCAUUUAAUUUCACUUGUCCUUCUCUCAAAAUGAAUUUAUUCUACUUCCCUAAUCAAGAAACACCUGAACUUUUAUAUAUAUAACAGAACAGAUGUAUAUCUAACAAGUGCAUAUAUUUGAGAAAUGAUAUUGCAUCUAUAAAUCCUUUUCCUCUUCAUUCAGAUCGAGAAUUUUAAUACUUUCAAGAGUGACCAAGGAAAGUUGGUUCAAUCUCUCUUAAGAGUCAUUCUCAAUUGAUCCCGUCACUUAUGAAGAAUGCUCAUGCUUCUUCCCUGAAAAUAGGCAUGUUUACUAUGGAUUGUCCUAUUUAAUAUUAUCCAUCUAGAAGGGGUUAGGCAAAUUCACCAUUUACCUUGGCAACACACUCAAAUUAGGACAAGGAACUAACUGGUCAUAGGAGGCACAAGCGCAACUGGACUAUGAGCUAGUUUCAUGCAGUUAGGGAGAAAAGAAAAAAGGACUAGAUCAUCAAGAUUUAAAUAUAUAUCUGGUUCAGGCUGCUCAAAAUCUUACGAAAGGAAACAAAAUGGAUGGAAAAUCUGCCUUGCAAAAACUGCAGUUCACAAGUCUUAUAGGCAAUGUCAUCCAAAUGGCUGCCACGCUGAUCUCCAAAAUAUGAAGUUUCAAAAAGGCUUCUCAUCCGGUAUAGGAACUUACAUUCUUAAUUGAAUUAGAUCACAAUAUAUUCUUUUACCUGAUAAUAGAUGAGGAUUGCAGACUCGAUGAAAUUUGAUCUACAGGCAUCACAAAUCUCCUCGUUCUGUUUCUCUUCACCAAUGGUUCCCUUUCUCAACCGCCUAUAGGAGAUGGCUGCCCACUGGAAAAUAUCAUCAAAGCAGUAUCUACUAUUAAGCGUGUUUGGCCCUCCUAGAGUUCUUCCAGCUCAAAAAAUCUCAAAGCCAAGAACUUUAGCUGAUUACUUUUAAGAACUGAUUGCCUUCCCUUUGUAGCUGCCAGUUGAACUACAAACGGAGGGUUCCAUGCUGGUCAUUAUUCCUUCUUGAGUGCUAUUUUUGCAGCAACAUAUUCCAGCUUAUUUUGUGGGUCAAUGAUCCAGCACCUAUACUUGCAUUUGGCCUUACUUUUCCAAUUAAACUUGUUACUUCUCCCUGUGGGUUCCUGCUCUAGGAAGAUAAAUGCUAUUGCAAGCUCACAAUUAUAGGAUAUUUCCUGGGUUUUUCUAGAGGUUCCUGUCAGAACCAUCAUUAUAGUUCUCUCCGCACAUGAAAACCCCACUUUCCCUGGAUCCAUACAAGCUAUCAUCUAGAUGUUCUGAUUCCAAUUCCCCUUCCAACAUAACGAUGAUAAGAUUCAGGAUGGUCAAAUUCAUUCCAUCCUUUAUUCUAUAAUCAUACAUCAGCUUGAUCAACAGUCAAGACCAUUUACAUCACACUCAUUUAACAGUCAAGCAUAAAAAAGACACACAGGUGGCCUCUGUCCAUGAACAUCUUUUCCUUUUGAACACAUGAUUCCUAAUACAACUCCUCUUCCAUUUCUACGCAUUAUCUUCCUCAACUUCAGCGAUAUCUUCGAUUUUUCUUUUGGGUCCAUGGAAACUGCUUCUGCUAAGCACUACUAUGGUUAAUUCAUCUUCCAUACAACAGAAAGCAACUUAUAUGAAUCACAAUACCAUAUUCCAAGGAGAAACGAGAAUGGUAUAUAUAGAAUUGGAGUAACAAGACGUGAUAAAAGCUAAACUUUCUUCUUUCCAGAUUCCUUUCUUGCAACAAAAAAAUCAAAAACAAGCUUCAAGAUAUCUCCGCGAGAGGGACAUAUCCCCAAAAGAACCCUUUUUUAUUCCAUCUUCAUGCAUCUUUCCAAGAGUUCCGACCCACGAAAACCCUAGUUCUUGUCAUCAAAGGAACUAUCUUUUGCACCCCCACUUCCUCGACGAAAGAUUGACGUCCCUCUUCUUCAAAGAAAGCAAAAUCGAUGUGAAGUGGUAAUACCUAGUAGACCAAAGGUAAAUUUUUUUCGAGCAAAGCACUAAUCAGACCAAAUCGGCGACGUCGGCGGCGGAUGGAAGGAAGGGCGCAGCGCAAUCAUUCCUUGGAGGCCUUCGCACGGCGGUGAGCGAGUGGCCGAGUCGAAGGCUCGGAGCUCAGACAACCUCGGCUCGGAAAGCAAAGCAUUAUAACGAACGUUAUGAUCGUUACUCGUUAUAUCGGCCGUUAUGUUCCAAAAAUUAGUGUUACAAUUGUUGAGGUCGGAGAAAUGAUGCCAUGUAGAAUAAAUUGGAGCAAAAUAUUUCUCGUCCAUUAUUAAUUCUCCCUAUCUUAAUAUGAUAUGGAGCUGAAAUGAUUACAUAUUAUGACCAUUAUCACAAGUCAUUGGCCAUGAUUUAGAUGGGGAAACCUACUAUAUAUAUAUAUAUAUAUCCUUCAGCCUUACCAAACACAGAGUUGUUUAAUUCACCAAAGAACAUAACACACUUGAUAAUAUGAUCAAGUGGAUGAAUAAUCUAUUCAGAAAACAAAGGCAAAGGCUUGUCUCAUCUUCCAUACAAAGCAUGAUGUUGAUGAACAGAGAAAAUCUUUGUUGAGCUCUCAAAAAAUGCUGAAAUGAACUGUUUCCUUGGUAGUCCACUCAGAUGAAGAUGUUGAGAAGUUUUCAGAUACAAUAAUGCAUUAGUUGUGUGCUUGUUAGAUGAUUGAUUACAAGGAGAAGAAGAAGAAGAAGUCAGCUCAUGCUGCAUUGAGUCUGAUAAUGGCGCUUGGCAUCACCAGCAAAUGCAUCAAGCUCAGCUUGCAGAAUAAGUUCUUCCUGAAUCAGGCAAUGACCGUUCUACCUCAGACAAAAAUGUCUACUCCAAAAAGAAGUGUCAUGCCAUGGAAGAGUAGAAUCUCAUCUGACUUUAACAUUACCUGAACUCAGUCUUGUGUGACAGAACAUUGUGCCUACUUCUUCCAAUUGUUUUACUGUUCUCUCACCUCUGCCCAAAAGAAUGCAUUCAUUUCAAUCAACCAUACAUGGAUGGUCAACUGAGCAUGUGGCAGAGGAAGCAUGUUAAAGAUGUCUUUAGGCUGCUGCAGGACACUCAACAUAUGUGUGUGUGAUAGAGUUUCUUAGCUCACAAGAGAGUGGAAUCCUGAAAAAAAAAAAACACACAGGUGGCCUCUCUGUCCAUGAACAUCUUUUCCUUUUGAACACAUGAUUCCUAAUACAACUCCCUGUAUCUCUACUGGAAUUGAAAGCUUUUAAAGUAGAAGAGUUAUUUGAGUUGUGUACUUGUCUCCCUCAUGGGGUGUAGUUUUGUACUUUCUAGGAGUAUCCAAGGCACAUCCAUGCUGCCAAUGUCAUCUCAAUGUCAUUCAUUUGAUGCAUGUGAUGCUCAUGACCUUGAAACAAGCAAAUCACAUGCAGAAAUGGAACUCUUGUCAGGAGAUAAUUAGGAUUCAAUUUUUUGUAUUGUUGGUCCAUAGAUAACAGAGAUUCCACCUACUGAUAUGUUAAAUAUGGCAUUGUGCCACUGUUAGCCAUAACAAAAAGGAAUUUUCAAUUGUAAUAAAAACAUGACCUGUAAAAAGCAAAAGGAAUUAGUCUUGUUCUUCCACAAAUAUUCAGAACAUAGAAUCAUCCAUGAAGAAGAUCACAAAAUAUAAGAUUGUGUGUUGGAAGAAUCUCACUAUGUAGUUGAAGAAAAGACUUGAGGUUUUCUUUUCAUGAUCUCUGUUUCUCUUUUUCAGGUUACUUAUCAAAGAUGACUUCUUCUUCAUAUCUGAGUUGUCUGAUCCAUAGCUACAACAGGAUGAGAAGUAGGAUGUGACAUAUACCACCUUACAGUGGUUUAAUGACCAGGCCAUGAAGUAAUUGAAUAUUCUAAAAGGAAAUAAGUUGGAACAGGGCAAGAGACGGUGAAGCAAUAAACACUUUUUCUCUCAUCAAUCCAUCUACCUCUCAUUAAUGCAUCAGAAUCUGAGUGAACAGAAGCACUCCUUUGGCUUUCUCAAUCUUCUUCUUCCUACCAACUUCAUACACAAAAGAAAAAGAAAGUUAAAUGCAUUGUCUCACAACAUAUUCAACUUUUCCUGUUCAGACACAAAUUGAAAGCCAGGCAAAAAAUUUAUGUGCCUUGAAUGCUUACUCAGAAGAAUGAUUGCAAGAAUCCUUGAUCACAACAUUCAAGCUAUUACUCCAUUUGUAAGAUUUGGAUUAGAUGAAGACUGAUCAAUAGAACUUAAGCUAUUGCUACAUUUGUAGAGUUCACAUUUGAGGAAGUGAAACAAUGACUGCCCCUUCAAGACCUUCUUUGUAUGUGAUUAAAUCCAAACCUCAUGCACUUGUUUUGUAGGAAUAUGUUCCUAAGAUUGAAAAUAAUGUGAUUGGUGAAAAAUAAGCAUGCAAAAGAGGACAAGAUUGUACAGAAUCUGAACUGAACAUGAUUGGAUGAAAUAAAAUAAGUUGGCAUCAUUGAUGUUCUUACCAAACAUUUGGACUUGUAGACACAGCUCAAACCGAUGCAUGAAAUAGAUAAUCGAUAACCAUUGCAACAGCUUCUUCUUUAUCAUUUGCCAGUAGUACUCGAUGAUGUAUUCAGUCCAAAUGAAGUCCCCAACACCACAGUUAAUGCUCACACGAGCAGCAUCCCCACCACCCCUCCUGCCUCUCUCUCUCACUCUCUCUCUCUCUCUCUCUCUCACCCACCCCUUCUGUUUUAAAGGCAAAUAAACUCAAGUUUUCUACUCCUUCACACCCUCCAUUAAUGCAUGCCACAGCAAAACCAACUUCUCCUCCUCCUCCUCCUCCUCCUCCUCCUUACUGUCUCUGAGAGAACCAGAUGGGCAGGAAGCUAGGCUUGAGCUCUCUCUUGUUCAAGCUCAGGGACACACCGAAGCCUUCUUGCUACCCGUCUUCUUCUCCUUCUUCUUCUUCUUGGUCGUGGCCCUCAUGUAAGCAACCGAAGACCAGCUCCUUCCGGGACGUCGACGGCGACGCCAUCUACAAGACCGUCAACUCGGUGUACUUCGACUCCAACGAGUCAUGCUUCUCCCGUUCAUCGGAAGAGCAUGAGAGCUUCUCCACGGUGUCGGAGGACUCGGGCGGUGGCUCGCUGGAGACGGUCGUGCGCGGGGUGCGGUCGGACCGGCUCUUCUUCGACCCCGGCGGGGCGAGCUCGAUACUGGAGGAGGCGAGGGCCAGCGAGCCGCCGUUCGAGGGCAGCGUCGCGUUAGCCGUGGAGUCGGACGACCCCCACCGCGACUUCCGGCGGUCGAUGGAGGAGAUGGUGACGGCGCACGGGCUGAGGGACUGGGAGCGACUCGAGGAGCUGCUGGGUUGGUAUCUGCGGGUCAACGGGAAGACGACCCAUGGGUUCAUAGUUGGAGCCUUUGUGGAUUUGCUUGUAGGCCUCGCUUCUUCUUCUUCUUCUUCUCCUCCACCUCCUCCUCCUCCUCCUCCAUCUUCUGCAUCAUCUUCCAACUCCUUUAAGAUCGAGGAACUCAAAGAGGAGGACGCCAGUGGAUCAAGUUAGCUUCCUUUAAUCCAACAAAAACAUAUAUAUAUAUAUAUAUAUAUAUAUAUAUAUAUAUAUAUAUAUAUAUAUAUAUAUAUAUAUAUAUAUAUAUAUAUAUAAAAUUUAUUUGAAGAGUCGUUAGACGAGCACCUUGUGUUCAUGGCUUCCAACCUCGUUCUCUGAUGGAAGAAGCCAGCGGUGCGUUGUCUCCUUGUAGAGUCUGCCGGAAGGGCCAUCACAGUGGUUCUCUCAAUCAUAGACAUCGGCAUGUCACCAGAUGCUUCUAUCAGAGCAGGACAAGUGCUGCCAUGGAUUAAAUGAACAACACUGCUGCUGCAGCAGAUCAUGACAACUGCUUGCACUGCUUCUGGUUGAUGAUUCCCAUCAGGUUAUGGCCAGCGGGGACAGAUGUGAAAGUUAUUGGGCUAACGUCCUUCUCCAGUAGGAGUUCGGGAGAACUGUAGAUGUUGGAUGGAUAGACGAUAUCAGUUGUACAUUUAACAUGUCCUCCGAAGAGAAAAAGGAGUGCACAGUGGGUAGUGAUUGCCCCCUUUCUCGAGGAAGGUCGCUUACCAUUGCUUGUAAGUUUUCAUUUCAUGGUGGUAGACUUCUUGCAGGGUCGAACAAGUUGUUUCCCUGAUUCAACAUCAUACCGAAAUCUUGAAACGAAAAUAGCUGUCAGACAACUGGAUUCUGUACCGAGCAUACCUCUUGUUGUUGGAUGCAUGCAGCACGAUUACCAGCUCAUCCUAGAAAGCCAGCAGUCAGAUGUUCAUUUCAGUGCCAAUAAAAUUUCUAUUAUUCUCUUAUCCUAUAAUAACAAAGUCAAUUAUUCUAUAUGAAUAUUUUGCCACCAUUAAGAUAAUUAUUCUGUUAUACCAUACAUACAUGGAAAUAUAUGUCACAAAAAGAUUAAUUAAGAUGAACUAUCCAAUUCUGUCAGAACAAGUUAUCACAAUUCAACUAUACCAAGAGUUCUACAAAUAUCUAAAAAUAAAAAGAGGAGGAAUAAUUGCAGUUAAAUAGCAUGUGAAUGUCCAGAAAAAAACCUUUUCUUAAAUAGUAAAAAAAAUCUUUUUUUAAUGACUAAAAAAAGGAGAAUUAUCUGAGUUCAGAAAGCAGGACAAACUAAGGUGACAGUUGCUCUUGCAUUAUUGCAGCUGCCUCAAAACUUUUGCCUGGUGCAAGCGACUUGACAAAGCUUUGCACAUGGAGCCUCUGUUAAACUUUUGAGUGCAUGAAUCUCCAUGACUACUUUAACUCGGAGAGAAGGACGAGCAGGCCAAUAUAAAUUGCAUUCUUGUCUGUGGUUUCAACUGCGAAGCUUCUAAACCCAUGCAAAACAAGCCGUUGUUUCCUGUGCAAUUAAUGCUUCUUGGUCUGACUACCUUUUCAACAUAUGACAACACUGCUCAAGAAACCUUACUAUAUUCCACAUCUCAGCUCGACAAGAUGCAACAUUGUUUUGAUCACCUUGGAGAUCACACGACCAUCUGAUGAUGUACCACUUGUUGCAUUGUUCACAUGGCGGUGGAUGCCUCCUGUGGGUUCUUGAUAGACAUGGGCAUUGCAUCUUGAUUAAAGUAAGGUGCCCAUUAUGACUGCUCUAGAGACCCAAGAAGUAUGUUGAUCUCCUCCCGUAUUUUGCAACAGGUUGGAACUGCAGACGUGUGUUGUGAGAGCCAAAAAAUUGAUGUGAAUGUUGAUCACGAGAAUUGGCCCUGCAAAAGACAUUGAAGGGAAUGGCUUUUGAUGAAGACUGGAAUUUUGGGAAAUCACUGUGACCGAAAGCAGCUUCCUACCCCCCCACCUUGUCACAAGAGAUAUCCAUGCUCGACAGCAGAGAAUCCAACAAGUGUUGGGCUGCACAAUGCAGCAAUAUCAGGGCCAGUUCUUGAUAUUUUAGGUUGCAGUGUGGAUAGUUUGAGAUCGAGUUUACCUGAAGAAACAUGAAAGAGCAUGUCUUCUCCUUCACCAGCCCUUGCAGGAUAGAGAACAGCUUCGAUGAAUCUGAUCGCGAGGAGAUAAAUAGCACUGUGGCUUUGAAAUCUUGAUUCAGCAGGCCAGUGUUCAAAUUUGAAGUCUUUAUUCAACAAGUAAUCACAGUGGCGCAAAAUGCCAAACAGGAAAUAAUAAUUCAUACAGGAACAUUAAAUAGAAAAUAAAUGCCAUAGCCAACCUGCAAAUACUGAAACAGUCAAAAGCCAGUACUUGAAACCACUGCAGGAUCAGAGGUUUAGGAAUUAUAACAUGGGUGGUAGGUUCCCCUAGGUAAGUAUGCCCAGAGGUGCAAUGUUGCAUUUAUUGCAGAUAAGAGAGGACCAUUGACCAUGACCAGUCAAAUAAAUUGGCUCAUUGCAUGCAGAUACUAGCCUGAACAUGUCACAGACUUCAACAACUCCAUUUAACAAAAGAUCUGUAUCUUCAGUUUCCAUCGACCCAAAUUUGUCUAUAUUCCAGCAAUAAUUUUUUUCUGAAUAAAUAUUUAGAUAGGCAUACAUAAAGAGUUCACUCUACAGCAAUUUGCUGGAAUGAAUGAUGCUAGAAUCAAGGCAUAGGCGGGCUUGCCCUGGUGGAAGGGGAAGAAACGCAGCCCACAGCUUGAUAGAGCAUCAAUUUGCUGGCAUUUCUUCAGCACCAUUAGUGAUAAAUCUUACACAAAGAACAAUGAAAUUACCUUUCAUUGUCUCGUUUCACUUUGCAAUUUGAUUCUUGAUCAAGGUUGCUACAUGGUGGCCGGCCCACGAGGAGCCAGCUUCAGUGCAGCAGAAAGCAUGCAUGUGGCCCUCUCUUUCGAUUGAUAAGGAAAGACCUGGCACCAUCCGGGAAACCUGCAAUCAUCCAGACAAUAACUUCAAUUCUAUUCAAAUAAAUAGCAAAUAGAAUGUAUGCAGAUAGCAAAUAAAUAGCAAAUAGCAAAUACAAUAACAUCCUUGUGGUUAGUGCACUUUUGCAUAAGUGACGGGUUUCUGGUUCGAGUCCAUAAUUGAAUAUUUUGUACAAUGUUUAAUGUGAUGAAAAUUUCUAAUUAUUUUUUAAAAUUAUAUAGAAAAUUUAGUAUCAAAUAAAAUAGAUAUCAAUUACGAUACAAGUCAGUGCACGUAUCCACUGUGCCGAAUUCUUUUUCACAUAAAUACAAUUGAACUUCAAGCAUCCUCUGUUUGUCUAAUUUUGCCAGCAAAAUAUUGAAUACAAAGCAACCUUGAUUUGUCAGCAGACAUUGAAUACGAUGUAACCUCGAUAAAGCAUAAAUAUAUCCGACAAUAGUUUCUAUUGCCAAUUCCAAAAACAGUAUAAAGAAAUUCAGGUACCCAAUUUGAUAAGUCUAUCUAAUAAACUGAAAAGUGAAGUAUAUAUUCACCUUUUCAAAAAGUGAAAGUGGGCCCCAGUGGUCAUCAAUGCCAAAAAGAAGAGAGAUUUGGUUAUGUUUCUUUUUCACAAACAUCCAGUCUGGCUCUUCUGACAACUGAAAUAAUAAAAUAAGUAAUGAGAAGAGAACUUUAACAUCCUAUGUUAUGUACCUACAACAGAAAAACCUCUACAUCAACUGGGAGAGUACAUGAUCGGAGUCCGACCGGUCACAUGUUUAUGAGUCAUGAGACUGAGACUGAAAAAGAAACCUGUUACUAAGACAUUAUUGAGACUUAUGAUUGGAUGUCUUAAUAUUGUUUUAUUAUGUUACAUAUUUUAUUAUUUACUAAUAUUUAUUCACAAUAUGUAAUUCGUUUUUGUUAUAUGUUUUGAUAGUAUGUUUUGUUGGUUCCUACUUAUGUUUCGAGAGUAUGUUUUGGAGGUUUCUACUUAGCAUUGAUGAUUUCAAUUAUUUUCGUUUUCCAGAAUAAUCUUUAGUUUCUAGUACUAAUUCCAGCGUAAAGAGAGCCAUCGUCUAACUACUAGAUAGCGCUAGGUGGGAGACUUUAGCUCUUUAUGGUUUAGUAUUAGCCAUUCAGUAUCAGUUUCUCUAUUGUCAAACUUUAUUAUUUAAGAUACAUUCGAAAUUUAAAUUAAAUAAAAUUAGUUAUUUUAUUAUCUCAUUUUAAAAGUACAUAUUUUUUUUUAAAAAAAUUGAGCACAGAUAUGACAACGAUAGACAUGACAAAAGAAUAUAAUACAAUACAACCAACAAUGGUUAGUCCUAUCAAUAUAAAAAAGCACAUAGGCAUGCAUUCUUUUUUGAGCAACAUAAUCGAACCACCAUCAUAGCAAUAACAACAAAGUAGUAAGUCCCAAUCAUUUGGGAUCCUCUACAUGAAUCUUUUACCACCAUUAAGAUCCGUAAAAAGUCAUAUGUUUAGUUAAAUUUAAAGUAUUUAAAUCAUUUAUAGAUUCUACUAAAAUCUUUUUCUAUAUUAUUUGAAGAAGAAAAAAUCUGUUGAUUAUCUAAUUCUUUCAUAGUUAUUGCAGAUAAUCUUCAAGAAAAUUGUAUCAAAUAAAUGGUACAAAUAAUUGAAGAAAGAAAUAUUUGCCAAAAGAACUAAGCAUAUACCAAUCAAAUUGUUAAAUCAAAUAUACAACAAAGACCUGCAAAGAAGCAACGACAAUCUUUCUCAGGAUAAAUGAUCCAGUAAAAAAAUCAGUUUAACAGUACCUUCUCAAACUCUGUCAUUGCCAUGAAAAGCAUAUUUCGCAUCGUAUGAUACUGCAAAUUUUAAAGCAAAAUUAGUAAUGCUAUGGUUUAAGUGACAACUUAAUGGUGUCUAGGUUCAAAGAUUAUAAUCCAAUAUUUCUUUCUUCAAUACGUUAUGACAGCACUAAUAAAGAUGCUCCUCAUUCAAGGUACAGUAAACACUUAAAAAAAGAACAACAAUAAAAGACAAGUGCAGAGUGUCCUCUCUCAGACAUUAACAAACUUUUUUUCUUACGAGUGAAAUCUCACAUCUAAAUACAGGAAGAAGAACCAACCUGCAAAACGUGACUGCAAGUAGCAUCAACAGCUGUAGAAGACCAUGACUGCCCAAGGCACUUUCUCACCAUAGCAACUUGAACCCGGGUUGGUAAUGACCCCAAAAAUGAUACAAAAUAACUAAUGGUUGUACUUACAAUGGAGGAUCUGGAAUUUGCAAAACAUUUACAAUGCAAUUAAUGUAAUAUUAAAAUAUAUAAAAAACCACUGGAGCAACAAAAAUUGCAAUCAAGUUUAACCAUCAUCCAACAUUAAAAAAAAUUGUCAUGAAUAUAUAGAAUGCAUAGAUGAAGAUAUGGGAUUCAGGUAGGUCACCUCUUAGAUUUGUUUAGUAGACUAGGAAUGCAGUGGCUUAUAUAGAUAACAUCUAAGCAUCCAUAUCAUGCUGACAACAUCUCAAAAGCUCCACCAAUAUUUAAAAGCUUGACAUGUGGACCAAUCAUAAUGCUGAAGAAACAAUGCUAAAGAAGAAGCUUGACAAAGUGUGAUACGACUUUUUCAACGAAAAAAAUGCCAUAUGACUAACACAUAAAGAAGCAAAGUAAAGCAUCAUCAGUUCAUUUAGAUAACUACCACAGGUCUUUUUCUCUUUUGGCUGUAUGUUGGUUGAAGAAACAAGCAAGCAAUUAAUUAAUCUGCAUAGCAAGACAUAUCUAGCAUCUAUGUCAUGAUGACUUUAAUUUCAUUUGCUUUCAACAACUGCAACACUGCUCUGAAGUUCCAUAAGCUGCACAUAGAAUGGGAUAUAUAUACAUUUUGUGUAUGUACACAUGCAUUUCUUAUUUGUGUUCUCAGAAAAUAUUAAUAAAGAUGUGUUAGUCUAGAUGUCCAGGCACACCCAUGAAAGCCAGUGUACAAUGGAAAGUGUAGAGAAUUAGAAUGACAAGGAUUUUGUUUUCUUAAUUUAGUAAUGUUUGCUUUAGAAAACCUAAUAUAAUUAACCUUAAGCUAAUUUGAGAAACAUGAAACCAUGCUUGAGAUAGAGUUAACUCAGUGUAGAAAGAUAAAGUAGAGUAAUAAAUGCAUUAAAAAAUAAGCACAAAUUUUAUUAUCUGAUGACUACAGAAAACUUCAUAAGUCUUUGUUUGAGAUUCAAUGAUAACAGAACUCUAAGUCAAUUGAAGGAAAAAUCUAUAGUUAGAGUAGCAUAAAAAAAAAAUUAACUACAAAAGUUAAAGCAAUAGAAACCAACAAAAGAAAAUACCUUGAAAUUAAGCCAAUCAUUGAUUGCUUCAAAGAACUCUUGUUCAGUGACAAAAAUGGAUAAAGACCUAUAACAUAUUUCACCUUCAAAAUCCAUUGAAAUAUCUUCACUGGUCAUUUAAAUGUUUUAGCAAAAAGUAUAGGUAUAAGAAAAUGGGGCGUAUGUAAAGAAACAUCUUUCACCUGUUGUUGAAGCCUCUUAAAGAUUUCCAAACAUAUAUAUGAUCCAAUAGAAUGUCCAACCUUUGCAAAAAGGAGAAAAUAAGGCAUAUAGAAUAAACUUCGGACAAGAAAAUAGCACAACUAUUUUCAGUACAUAGCAUAAAAAUUAUUUGUUGAAGGUAUAUGCUCAAUAUGUAAUAUGCAACAGAUGGUUCCAGCCCUAUGACAAAAGAUGACAUAUUCAGAGAACUCCAUAAGAAAGAGUCCUUAAAACUUCAACAGCAGGUUCCUGUUAAGUAGCUGUAUUAAUAAAUAAAAAAGAAAUUCAGAGUUAUAAAUUGACAUCUAAGAGUGACUAAUUAACAACUAAAAAACUUCAACAGGAGGUUCCUGUUAAGUAGCUGUAUAAAUAAAUGUUUUUAAAAAAAACUGAGUUCUAAAUUAACAUCUAAAGAACUCAGAGUUCUAAAUUAACAUCUAAAUUUUUAAAAACUUGUGGAAUUAACUUUAAUCCAUGAGCAUCUAAAAGUGACUAUACCAUUAUGGUGGCUCUAAAGUAUCCUCUGAUGAUUUUGAACCACAAUUUGAUACAUUAAAAAAAAAUCCUAUUCAUUGGUGUUAUCUGUUAAAAUUAGUUCAACAAAUUCAAUAUAUGUUCCUCUUCCAGGAGAAGCACAUAGCACAAGAAUGGUAAAAUAAGAUAUUGAAGACUGAAUUAAUUCAAUUUAUCAUAUUACUAAGGCUAUUCAUAUUCAAUAUGCCUUGGAAUGAGGUAAAUUGAAACAAAGUUCCAUACUAAAAAGCAACAUUUAAUUCAGGAUUAACGUUAUCCUAACAAACAUUCAUAAUAAAGCUCAACAACAAUCAAACUAAGCAUCAUUAAGCAUCAGUAUCCAUUCAAGAUAUCAAUUGCAACAGGUUGAAUCAGAUGCUGUGUGCAAGUCUAAUUCCUUGUUGAACCACAAUGGAUGCAACUUCCGUGGUUAAAACAAAUUACAUGACAGUUCCAAGUUACAACAAUAUAUUAGUUAGCAAAAGCAGAAAAUCUUCUUGUAACUGAAGACGGUUGAUCAGUAAUAUACUACCAAUAUAAGUGGAUGUUCACUAUUCUGGUACUCUUGUUCAAUAAAGUCCACCUGAAAUGUUGAAUACACAUGUACUGGAUCAGGGAAAAAAAACUGCUAAUGAAAAGAGAAAAACAGUAGGUACUGCUAGUUAUGAAAAUCAAGAAAGGAAAUACACACAAGCUUCAUGUAACUCCCAGUGCAGGAAGAAGGCAUGAAAUUAUAGCUUACAUACAGGAAGCAAAAACCUAAUUUUCCUAUAAGUAAAUAAAAUAAUAAAUCAAAAUCACUAUUUUCAGAUUCUUUUGGAUGAAACAUGAUGGCACUCGGAAUUCCUCCAUCAAAUAUAAGGCAUAUUACAGUAUUACACAAUAUUACAGCUUCAGAUAGAAGAAAAACAAAUAUAUGAUCAAACACGAUAAUAUGCCUGUCCUCUAGAUUUAUGCAAGUGGUCAUCAAGUAACAAAAACCUUUUUGCUAACCGUAGCUAUAAGGGAUAUUGGAAAAACCUUAUGAUUAAUUUGUUCUUCCAAUGAAAACAUCCUUCCAUGCUCCCAAUCCUGGUGAAAAAAUCAUACUCAUCAACUAAUGUGUGAUAACCAAGCAUCAAAUGCAAAUAGAAUAACAAUUAAUAGCAAAUGACAUGUAAAGUGCAUAGAUGCUUUAAGAAGACAAUUAAUAGAAAUCCUUUCAUAAAAAUUAAAACAUUUAUCAUGUGUCUUUUAUCUGUCUUAACAGAGAGAAAUAUAAAAUGCAAAGCACAUAGAUUCAUGAAGAAAAAACAACACACAAAAGAAGCACAUUUCAAUAGUAAUAGUGACUCCAUAACCUACAAGUUCUAUCAUGGUGAUGAAGUUGGCAUUUUAGCAAAUUGUAUAUUCAUCUGGUUCGUAAGAAUCAUAGAUCCUCAAUCCAUAAUGAGUUUUAGACUUUCCCAUCUACCAACCUUCAUUCGGUUACUCUACAUCUCUUGUAAACUCCUCCUCAACAUAUUUGAGAGUCUAAUACGGUGUUUUGAAAGGCGCUAGGUGCUAAGGUCUCAAAAUAUUCGAGGUGCUAAGCACUCACCCAAGUGAAGCGAGUCAUACUAAAAUAUUAAAAUAUUAAUAUAUAUAUUAUAAUUAAUAAAUAUGAUCAUAAAAAAAAUGUCAUAUUAAAUUGAAAUCAAACAGCCAACAUGAAAUAUAUAUUACAGGAUAUAAUUUUUUGACUACUAUGCCUAGGUUGACUCAUAAUUUGAGCUCAAUCCCAUUCAGUAGGAUGAUUUCUAAGCCAAAUCUAGAAAUGGAUUAGUCAAUUGGCAUCUUGACGGAAUUAGAGCAAGAGUGCUAUUUAUUGUGAUUUAAUACUUAAUGCACUACUUAUUGCUUUUUACAGCGCACUAAAUACCACUUAUUGCUACUUAGUGCACUAUUUAUUGCUGCUCACAGCACACUAAUUGCUUCCCACGUCCAUCAUGUGUCGGGUCUUGGGUGUGAGAAAAGGUAACCGUGAAAGGAAAGUGAGAGGAGAGAGAUCACAUCAGCCUUCAGCCCUCCCAUCCGCCCCUUCAAAACCUUAUCUUUUCGUCUUCCAACAAGAUCACUUUUGCCCUCCCAUCCGUUGUGUAUUUUGACCUCCCAUCCUGCCUUCAAAACCCUAGCUUUUUGCCUUCUAACAAGAUCACAUCUUCUGCCCUCACAUCUGUCUCCAAGCAUAGUUCGAUUCUCCACCUUGAAGCACUAAUCGAUUUUGUUGUAUUCGCCUUCAGGUCAGUGCCCUUCUUUUCACCUAGACCCUUUUCUUUUCCAAUCUCAUCUUUUUCUUCCAAUUUCUUAUGCUAUGCCACUUUCACUCAGGCACUCGCCCAAGGCACACAAUGCCUGGGCUUGGGCGAGUGCCCAAGCAGCACUUCAAUAAAUCACUUCGCCUAGAGGUCAUGCGUGGCACUUGGGCCUCUCACCCAAGCGCCUAUUAACCAAAAGUGAUAAUUAGUACGCUAUAAAAAUCAAUAAGUAGUGCAAUAAAUAGCAAUAAGUAGUGCAUUAAGUAUUAAAUCGUAAUAAAUAGCACUCUUGUUCUAAUUCGGUUGCGUCAAGAUGUGAGCUCAAAUUAUGAGUAAACUCAGGCAUAGCAGUCAAAGAAUUGCAUCCCGUAAUAUAUAUUUCAAGUUGGCUAUGUGAUUUCAAUUUGAUGUGAUACUUUUUUAUUUUUAUGAACAUAUUUAUUAAUUAUAAUAUAUUUUUUAUAUUUUAAUAUUUUGAAGCGUCUCGUUUUGCUCGGGCAAGCACCUAGGCGAGCACUUAGUGCCUCGGGCAUUUUAAGACCUUAGCGCCUAGAGCUUUUCAAAACAUUGCCUUCUAGAUGAGAAAGGAUCUAAAUGAGAAAGGACUAUAUCUUCCAUGAAGAAGCCUAAUCCAUAUUUAUAACAAUCAUCAUAACUAAUAAAGAAGAAUAGUAUGCACAAUCAAAUAAUGAAAUAAUGUAAUUCAAAAUAGAUAAAAGAACAUCAAUUUUAUUCUGAUAAUUACUAGUUCUAGAUAACAUUUUAACUAUUUUACCAAGUCACACAUCUCUAGAUGUUCAAAAGAUAUCAAACGUGAAGACAAUCCAUUAAUAUACAUACAAACAGCAUGCUAAGUGACCCAUAAUACAUUGUAGCAUGUUUAUUCUGGAUAGCAUGGUACAGAAACAAAUCUACAUACAGUACUGUGAGCUAGCAGAAACAUAUCACUUGUGAUGUUAGAUUGCUGCAAGUGAUAUAAGAAAGCAAGUAAGAGGUUCCACAGAUGCAAUCAUGAAGCAUUAAAAGCACAGCCUAAUUUGCCUUAGAACUAGGUCAUGUACAAGAUCUUUGUUUUUACAUAGUUUUCUAGUUUGUGAGUUGAAGUAGCAAUCAGUUAUUGUAAAAGCCGCUUAAGUUAGAGAGAGGACUUCAACAAAUAACAAUUUCUUCUACACAAAGGCCCUUGAUACAUGGAAAGUUGACACUAUUGCAGUUAAGCUUAAAUUUCACUCAUAAAACCUUUGCUGCAUGAGAGAUAUGACAGAAUACUGAUUAGAAAAAAAAUCAUUAUUAGAAAUUUCAUCAGUUGAUAAUAUUAUAAUUUAAGUUUAGAUUGUACUCAAGAUACCUUUGCUGCAUGACAAAUAUGCCCAAUUGCUGAGAAAAAAUAUUGAUAUUAGAAAUCUCAUCAGCAAAAUUCUGGGUUCAGAAAACUUUGAAAUGCCCAAGUUGGUAGUCCCUGCCUGUUACAGAUGCCUGCCCUUCCAGUAGUUGAUAUAUUGCUUCGACAAAGUCCUUAUAGUACAAUACAAUACCUGUUAUGCACCCAUAUACAACUAUUUUCAUUCGAGAGAAUUCAUGACCAUAAUAAGAAGCAAAUUAAUAUUUAGAAUGAUAACAACAACAAAAAAUAUCAGUAAGUAGCUCAUUAACAUUUUGGAAUUUAAGUGUCUAUAUCUACAACACCUGGGUUUCCGGGGAUUAAAAGAACAUGCAAUGAGGAUUCUUCAGAGCGCAUCUCAAGCAACUCAAUGGGAAAGCUGCAAAACAAGAGUGAUUAUUCCUAAAACUGUCAUAGUGACUUGUUACUUUUUUAUUCCAAGCGAUUACAAACAAUUUAAGAGUAAGAAAGCAAGCAUUUCUUUAGAAUUCAACAGAUAUAGCAGGAUUAGUUAGAACCAUACCCAGAGACGGUGCAUGUUCGCACUGUUGCUUGCUUUCUCCCACAAUGUGACAAUGUUAAUCUAUCCAUUGACCCUGAACACCUUGGAGAGAUAUCCUUUCUGAUGGACCUAUAGCGCUUUAAAGUGUUUAAGGAAGAAACAUUAGCAUUAAUUAGAACGUAUAAUUACUUAUCACACAUAAGUAGCUCAUGUUGAAGAAGAAGACAAGAACUGUCGAGACUGGAAAAAAAUAGUUAACAAUCGCAUCUCAUCUCGUUGAUGAUUGUUUUUUCCUGGUUGCGCACGGUUGGUCAAAAUUGAUAUUGACGCUAGAGCUUCAAGUGUAUGAUUGAGAAUACAAGGAAAAAGUUUUAAAAGAAGCAUAUGGUCAAAAAACCUUUAAAAGACCACAAUUGACACAAUUUUGAUUUCUGAAUAACAAAAAGGGAAGCCUGGUGCACAAGACCCUCAGCAAUGCACGGUCUGAGGGGGGUUAUUUAUACGAAACAAAGUCGAAACUUUGCCACUUAACAAAGAAAUAAAAAUAAAAGGUGAAUAUCAGUUCUCACAACAUAACAAAGAACUUUGUUGUGCUCGUUAGCCGAUCCUCAUAUUGACACGACAAAAAUGCUUUAAUGAUUGAAGGCGUUCAUUAUUCCUUCGACAACAACCGAUCGAACUCCAAUACUUCUCUUUCUUUUCUAUUAGGGUUAACAAAAUCUUGAUUGGGCACCACUAGUCAAGGCCUAAUCAAAGAGGGAUCUCCUUCCUUCCGGACAAAAUCUUGAUUGGGUUUCGAAAAUCCCAAAAGCUUUAACUGUUAGCAAAGGAUCCAAUCUUCUCAUCCAACAAUCACAUUAACCCCGGAACCUCGCUUCAGUGGAAACAUGCGCCGAUUCAUGACGAUCCAAACACCAAAUUAAAUUGACCGUAAAUUUAAAACCCCAAAAUCAAGAGACCAAAACACUAAGGAAAAGUCACAAUGGAAACGACGAUGCUACCCUAAAUAACAAGAAUACGAGAAGCACUAGAGAAUUCACAGCAGAAUUAGCGCUACCUAAAUCGAUCGGUGCCGAGAGAUGGUUUCUUGGUGCUAACCAAAUUAUUGUUUAUAAAAGGGGAGGAAGCGCAAGAAGAAGAGGAGAAAGCUGGACGCAUAUACCGCGGCGAUCUUGGAAAGAAGGUUGUGCGGAGAAGGCGAGAAGCGUGGCGGACGGCGACGUCGGGAGAGCUCACGCGCCACAUCGCUUCACUAAGAAUCCUUUCUUCCCUUCAAUCUCUGGGCCGAACCCAAUCAAACGACCAUCGGGCCUCCGUAUUAUUGAAGAUGUUUUUCCAUCUCUGUCCUUGUACAGUAUUCGAAUUACGAAACUAUCUCCAUAUAUAUAUAUAUAUAUAUAUAUAUAUAUAUAUAUAUAUAUAUAUAUAUAUAUAUAUAUAUAUAUAUAUAUAUAUAUAUGAAAGACAAGAUGAACAAUAGAGGAGAAAAAACAGAGGUCAGUCAACCAUCAAGAUUCAUAGACUGAGAUCACAACCUUAGUCAACGUUGAUGUCUUCCACCUUCAUCUAGAUCAAGCUUACAACACUUCUAGAAAAAUCUUUGGUGGAAGAAUUCAAGGACCACAAUUUCCAUUUUUAAAUCAUAAAAAGAGAAAAUACACAGAGCAAAUAAUCCCAAAAAUUAAUUCCGAGAUUCCUAAAUGCCAAGGCAUUGAUUUUGACUGAAAGUCCAAUGGCAUAAUCUAAUUUGAACGAUUCAAUUGUAGAUUCCUUGGGUGGCAAGUUGACCCGGACCAGGUCAAGCACACCCAAUUUGAUCGAACCGGACCACAUCAAUCUGAAAUCAAGAUAGGCCGAACCCAAUUGGGCUACGAACCGGGAGAGGAAGAGUCGAACCGUACUGCACAAAAUUACAAAUUUACCCUCGUGGACGGUAUUUGAGGGAAUUGUUGGGGGUGAUGUGGGUAUUUUAGUCUCAAAGGUGGUAGAUCUGACGGGAUCUAUUCAUCUUUGCGUGUGGAUUUUUCGCGGGAAGCCGUCCCGCGAAAGCAACUACCGCUUCUUUCUUCCCUUCUCCGCUAAGUCAACCCAAAACAGAGUCAGAGUCGAGAAGAGGAGAAGGAAAACAGAUAAAUAUAGCAAUUGUUUGGCUUCCGGCUUCGAAUUCUCGACCCACCAUUCCCUCUUUCUCUCUCUCUCUCUCUCUCCCUCUUCCUCUUCCUCUUCCUCUUCUCCUGAUCUCCUCGAGCUCAGAGCCAAAGACUCACGACCUCUCAGAAGUCAACGCCAACCAACCAGAAGACAAUUCCUCUGCUUUAAGGUGCACACGAAGAGCUUGGCUUAAUUCUAUUCUUCUUCUUCUUCUUCUUCUUCUUUUUCUUCUUCUUACAAAUUUGGGUUUUCAUGGUUCAUUGAAGAUGUUGGCAGAGUACAUAACCAGACUUCUCGUGUGAGUAAUCAAUGUUUCCUUCAUCCAUUUUUUUCAUCUUCAAUCUCAAUAUAUGAAAGCUUGAGCUGAGGAUUGCAAGCACAACCAUGGCAGGGUGGUGUUUGGAUAUGCUUAUCCAGCUUUCGAGUGCUUCAAGACAUUAGAGCAGGGUCAAGGCAACGCACAGCAGCUUCGAUUCUGGUGCCAGUACUGGUAAUUACUACCUCUCUCUGAUGACAGAGGAACAUAAAACUAUCAUUUUUUUAGUUUGUCCUGUUCAUAUGGUUCAUCAAGCAGAUCAUGAUUGAAGAUAAUGCAAUACUUUUGGAUCCUUGCUUUAUCUUAUACAAGGAAUAAAGUCAGGCAAAAGCUCCUAAAGGGGGUUGGUUUUGGUGAAGGGAAGUUGGCCAUCCUCUGUCGUAUAGUGAUAGUGUGUCGUGUAGUUUAUCUACCUCUGAUUAGGUCUGCUAACUUCAAUCACAUCCACAAAGUCUUGGCGGGCAAAUGUUUACACGUUCUUUAAUCGUCAUGUUUGUUCGAUUCGGAAGAGUUCUGAUGGCAUGAAACGUAAAACUUUGCAGGAUCAUUGUGGCAAUACUAACAGUCAUCGAGAUGCCUGGCAAUUUCCUUGUUUCAUUGUAAGGAUGAAUCACUCAGCUUUUACUGUUCUUCAUCUUUUUUUGCUAUGUUUAUGACUCGUUUUCGAAUUCGAUGAAGGUUGCCAAUGUAUGGAGAAGCGAAGCUGGCCUUCUUGGUCUACCUGUGGUACCCAAAGACGAAGGUAAUUUAACCUGCACAACCAGAUGAAGUGAAGAGAUCAGCAUUGGAUGUUUCUUCCUCUCAUGCGUGAUGUGUGCAGGGAACUGAUGUUGUUUAUGAGACCUUCCUCCGGCCGCUGGUGAUGCAGUAUGAGCCUGACAUCGAAGAGAGGUUUAGGAACCUGAGGGCUAAAUCUGGGCAACUGCUUGUGUUCUAUCUCAAGAACUUCACAGAGAAAGGGCAGAUUUUGUUCUUGGAAGCCCUCCACUAUGUGGUUUCUAAGUCAUCAGGCAGCACUGAGGUAGCUUCUGAUUGCCACUACAUAGCUAGUGAUAAAGAUCUGCAUGAUAGAAUCACAAGUUCAACACUGGAAAUUUGAUAGGAAUCAGAAAUCAAACAUUGAUAGAUAGUAUAAACAUCUUUCUGAAAUGUAGAUGGCAUCUCUCAUCAUUUUAAGAAUGAGUAGUUGGCUUUAGAUUGGUUGUCACUACUGGCACAUUUAUCAGACAAAUAGAAUGCACAAGAAAAGAGACCUACUUGCACAUUCAUCAGACCAAACCCAUUAUACAUCCAACAACUUCACUGAAAGAAUCAUAAAUGAAUCAGUGAUGGAGUCUUGCAAUGAUUCUUACAGCAACCACUCCACUGCUAUCACAACAUAAUUUCUUGCUCUUUUCUUUUUUUUGCCUUUUACAUCACUAAGGAUUUUUUUUUUCUCUUUUGCUGAAUUUUCUUUCUUCAGAAAACAAAACGAUCAUCAUGGAUGAGCCGGUUAGUCGCCAACAAGAAACAAGAGAAAGAAGAAAAAGAGAAACCAGGAGUAGAGAAAUUGGAGGAGAUUGCGGAUGCUCUCCUUGGCGCCAACCCAAAGCAAAGGCGAUCGCGUCCACACAAAUAAGAGAGGAGAAUAAUGAUAAAUUUAGCGAUAUAUAUGGAAAAGAAAAGAAACAUAAUGUACAAAAAUAGUUGUAAUUUCACUUUUCUUGUGUUGCAGCCAACUUGAUUUCUUGCAAACAAUUUGAGUCAGUUAAAAAAACAAUAGUUCCAGAGGAAUAUUAAACUUAUAAUUCCAACUUGAGACCGUAUGCCAAUGCUCGCAUUAUAUGUGUCGAUCAAGCCGUGUGAUACAUGCAGAAUACAUGACUAUGGAAUUUGAGAUCCAUGCUAGAACAAUCGAUCUGUCUAUAAAGGUGGCAGAUCUAUAGUUUUGGUGCUCAUAGAUUUUAACCCUGGAAAGUUGCUCAUAGAGAACACUCACUACUUAAUUGGGCAUGCAUCACUCAUCUCAAUCAUCAAAAUGCACCCAGAUAGUCACAACUACUGAUCAUCAUGCAGGUUUUGAAAGGAAGAAUAAGAAAGAUUACAUAUUGAACUAAUAAGAAAGCUUUCACGAGGCUAAAGCACAUUUUGAGUGAUAGCUUAGAUUUCAUGAGAGCUACACAUCAUCUUGUUCGAUCUAAAGUCUAUAUGAUAAACAGUAGAGCCAAGGAAGAUUACAUAUUUCCAACAUGUUUUAAUACGGACUGCUCAAGUUGAGGAGCACAGAGAGAUCUCAAGUGAAGUAAAGAAGGGGAUCUAAUUUCAUGCAUGAACAAUACACUAGAUGGAUUACUCAACCAUACACAACAACUGCCGCCGUUCCAUCAGGUAAUGGAACAGUACUCUUGCAAAUAGCCUCACCGCUUGAUCGCUUGAUCGUCAGACUUUCGCAGCUUGCCCUAACGGCAAUGACGUUGUGGGUCUCGGUGGAUCUGAUUGUCCCCACCAGAAGACGGAUCUUCCAUUUCUACAUUAAACCUGUCCUGUAUUUAUCUAGGAGUCGAAUUUGCAUUAGAGGGGACAUCAGUAACACUGGAUGGAGUUUGCGGCUGAUAUGUGCUAGCACUACCCGUAACAAAGUCAUCUGUGUUGAAUACAUCAAUUCCAUCCCAUUGUACCUCAGCUAAAGACUGAGCUAAGGAUUUCAAGCGAUAUUUAAAACAUAUUUUAAACAAGUACAGAAAUAAGAAUGAAACAAGUGAUAUCUUAAGAAGAAGGAUACGUGCAGUCUUCCACAUAUCUGUAAUGCUAAAUCCAGAAUCUGAUAGAAGCCAGUAAUCAGCAUCAGUCUGCAAAAAAAGAAAAAAAAAUCACUUUUCAUGGAAAAGGAACGUUAAACAGGUGAUGCUGUAUCUUAUCCUUUUCGACAGGUAGGAGCAAUAAAUUGCAGAUGACCAUCAAAAUAUAAAAGAAAUGAAGAUCAUCAAAAAACCUCAGAUGAGCUUCUCUGAUUUCACACCUUUGAGAUGUUAAAUUAAAGCAGCAAGGAAUAAUAUAUAUGAGUGAAAAUGUCCUAAUAAUUAAUGACAGAUCAAAUGUUCAAAUAAUUGAAAGCCAAGUAUAUGCAAAGAAGUUAUAGCCAGCAAAAUUAGUUAAUGACAGAUCAAAUGUUCAAAUAAUUGAAAGCCCAAAAAUAAACAAAUUAGAAAAAGCAAUCUCUGUCUAUUGAGAUUGUUUGUUCCUGUUACAUAGAGGGGAUCCUUAAUGAAUGGUACAAUACAAUUUCUAUGAUUCAAACCACACAAGUGAGUUGCAUAUGUGGACAAUGGCUUAAGUGGAAAUUGACUUAGGUGAUCCUUAGAAGUUGUCACUAAUAGGCAUAAAUUAUUAAUAAUGUCAGUAUCUGCAUAUUCGAAAAUUGAGCUUACAUCAACAUCUGAAGGAACAAUCUUCAUCAUGCCACUGCCAAAAUCCUGCAAGGAGUUUACGUCAGGGAACCCCCUCUGACUAUCUUGAUUAUUUACUUGCAGUUCCUUCUCUUUGCUCUCUUCCGUGGCAACAGCCAGCGUGGGGUUCCCAAGAGUUUCUGGGUUUGCCAUUGAUUUACCAGAAUGGAGCUUUGGAGGUGUCACAACACCACUCACCUCCUCAAACUUCUCCUCAAAUUGACUAACAUAAAGUAAAAUAUUACCAAGGGGCAGCACAUAAAAGACAGUUAAUAUUAUAAAAUGAUAAUUAAGAGGGAAUUACUAUUACCUAACAAGGUAUACAUCUAUCGGACCCAUCGUACUUCUUAGGACAAUCCUGUAUCUCCUCUGUAGAUAAUCACCAGCCUGCAUGCAGAGGAAACAGAUGCUACCCGAUGCACAAACAUACUAAAACUAAAAAAUCUUUGCCAAGACCUUCCCUCUUCUUACCUCAUCAGGAUCUGGAACUUCCAGGGUAGUACCAUGAGGCGCUUUUAUUGCUAUUAAUGUUUCAUUCUGCAUAUAAGAGGCACGAAUAUAAGGUAGCAAUAAUUGUAAUGGAGAAGCAGCCAGUAUCUUAUUGCCAUUCUCAGAGUAAACGAGCCAACAGACCAACACCUGAAAGCAUGGUAGACUUUUGAUGUCAUCUUCGGUCAUAUACAGCCACCUGAAGGUACAAAAACUUACAGCGUAUGGUUACUACAUGGUUGGAUAACCAACAAAUCUAAAAUACAAAUGCAAGAAAAACACUUACUUCUGAUUGUUUACAUCUUCACUAAGCACCCCUAAUUUUUCACGCAUUUCACUGUGAAAAGAAUUGUUUGUUUCAGCAUAAUUGGUAGAAUGUAUGACAGCAAUAACCUAGUAGCUACAACAAAAAUUAACCUGAUACGAUCAUCUAAACUGUGCUCUUGCAAAGCAAGUUUUUCAACUUCUGCCUGAAGAAAAUGAAACUAGGAAAACUUAGAUGAGUUGACUCAUUUCACUAUAAAAAAUUUCACAACAUGGGCUCAGAUUAGACAAAUCUAGAGUGAGAACAGUGCUUUUUAGUCCUGGGAAGAACAUGCAUGUGUGCAUCAUACCUGUAGGACUGAAAGAUCAUCAUCAACUUCUCCUGGUCUUGUGUUAUCUUGUCCUCUGUUAUGCAACGAGCUAAGAAUUAUGUACCAUGCAAAAAGCUCCUCAUUUUGCAAGGAGAAAAUUUGAGUAUAAUGGGAAGAACAAAAUAAAACUCUGCCAGCAAAAGGAUGAAUUACUUCCAACGAAUUUUGUUCUUGAGUUUCUUUUCUAUAAGUCCAAUCCCUUCAAGGACAUUAGUUAUGUCAUAAAUCCGCCUCUUUUGCACCUACACAAUAUAAUCCUUGUUUUAGUAUAAAUAAACUUUAGGUAAUUAAAAUAUUAGCCAUCUGCAGUACCCCAAGUGUUUCCGCAGCAUUAUUCAAAUCAAGGAUGCCAUCGUGUGCAUGUUUAAGCAAAUUAAUGAACUUUUUGGUCAGAAGUCCUGAAAAGAAAAUUACAUCACACAAUCGUCAGAGACAAGCAAAGGCAGUUCCCAGUAUAUUCUAAGAUUCAAACUUUUCUAGACAGAAUUUAGACAAGCCAUGACUUUAAUCACCUAGAGAGCUGUCAUAACGGCAAGUACCAACAGGAGUGAGAGUAUUGCCUGAAGGAGAACCUGCAGCACCAAAAAUGAUGCUGAUAAAAUUUGUAUAUGCAGAUCAAAUGCAGACCAGAGCCUUCAAUUGGAAAGUAAUCUUAUCUAAGCUUGAUAAUUUAAAUAAAGAUAACAACACCAGAUCAUUAGCCAGUUGCCAAUAGGUGCAUGUAUACCAUAACUGACGAGUGAGUUUUCCUAGUGCAGAGAUUAACCCGUUUUUUGAUGGUAAUGGAAGGGCGAAUUUACUCACCAGCAUUUGACAUUGGGGUAUGAGGGCCAGACUUAUUGUACUUGGCAAUUUUGGAUCUCCCAUAUGUCUUUCCUCCUUUUCCUGAUACCGGUGUGAGAAGAAGAUUAUUAAGUCCUUCAGCAUAACCAGGACUAGCCAUCCACUCACUUGAUUCUCCAGCUUCAUUAUCUUCGUGUUCACGCUUCCGCUUCAACUAACAUGUGAAAUAUCAUUUUUCAAUGAAUUACAACCAGUAACUCAAACUUUCAAAUUGAUUUAAAGACGAUGCAUCUCAGGAAAUUUGAUGGCACAAUAUUAAAGUACCUCAUCAUGUGAUUAAGAUGCACCUAGAUGGGAAGUUCACAUACAUCUAAGGGGUAUUAAGUAUAAGAUCUAGAAUACUGAUAAGAAUCGCAAAACACGCACACACAUAAACUAGACCAACAAGCAUGAUGUUCCAUUCCUCAGCGUCGAUAGAUGUGGAUAAUUACCUAACAGCAUGAGUAUUCAAGACACUAUAUCUAUCACAGUUUCUGCAUUCUGUCAUAAGGACAAAGACUAAAGAUACUUGAGAUGGAUCCCUAUAAUUUUCAUUAAAUAAACUAUAUUCCAUGCUGCAUGAAGGUCAAUGCCAUAGUCAUCUUUCCUGAUGACAAGAUGUCUUGGUUGAACAAAUAUAAACACUGUCAAAUUUGAAGGAGCUCUACAAGUACUUUAGUCUCAACCUAUUUCUAGAAUGCAUACAUUUUCUUUUAGCAACGGGCAAAAACAGAAAAACCAAAACCUACUAGCAGUGUCUUCCAAUCUAACCAUAAGGAACUUGAAAACCAAUCCUGAAUGAACGUGUGCAUUUGUUACACCACUAUCAAUCCUUGAAAUUUUGUUAAACAGAGAACAUUCUCAAAUAAAACUUCGAAUGCUUAAGCACAACUUGCUUGAGUUAGUUACAUGACCCUUCAGAAUCACCUAUGAUUGAGUCAAAAGAUCAAGUCCAAAGAUCCUUAAUUUUCUGUUCUUUUCUAGUAUAAAGCUAAUAUCAGAGUAUUUGCUUCAAAUCAAUGGCACUGGAAUGUUAAGCACAGAGACACGGUAUAAUGGUAAUGACAGUUGUCUGAAAACAGUAACCAUGCUGUUAGCUUAACCUAUAUGUUGCUUUCCUUUAUGCUAGAUCUUAAAAAACCAAAACCUGUGUGAAAAUCACACAUAUUCUUAUCCUCCACAAUACAAAUGUAAAGAUGAAACCAGCCGAGAUUUGGCCUUUCGGGACCUUAUCUUGCUAAGAUGGUCGAAAAGACCCGAUCAAGCGGUGAGCUUGGAGAGUAGAGUCGAGGUAAGGUCAGGAAGGAUAGCAUACAAGUGAAGCCCACUUGAGAGAAGUUAGCUGGGGUUUUCCAAAAGGAAUCGAGGAUGUAUAGAAUGGAGAUUCACUUUCUAUGGAUUCAAAAGUGGGGCAAGGACCAUCCUUGCACAUGCACAAAGGGGUGGAAAAUGCGCUAAUAGUGAGCGAGCAGAAAAUCUCCGAAGAAAGAGAAUGAACACUAUUCUUAUCUAAUCGAUUGUACACCAGCAGGCCUUAGGUAGUCCAACAACAACAACAAAAUGUUAUGUCACAACAAUGUGGAACUGGUUACAUGGAUCUCCCUGCCAUUGACUUCCAUGUAGGACAAGAGGAAGUAACCAUAUAAUGAAUAAUUUCCGAAGCCAUAAUGUUCCAAACAUUCAGAGUGAGCUACCCAGGUCCCUUGAAACAUGUGAUCAAGUCAUCAUAUUUAUUAUACUAUCAUUUGCCAGUACCUUGAAAAAAACAUUAGUACCAUUUAUACUCAAUGGUGUCCUUCAGAAGCCUUAAAGUUUAUACCUGUCUCUAAUUUUACUUCCACAAAAGCUUAAAAAAUCAUUAAUUGUUGCUACAUAAGAUGCUUCUGUGAAACAUGGCCCAAAUUUGGGUAUACCUAGAUCCUAAAGAGGCUCAAUCUAUAGCAUGCACAAAAUAUUAGACCAACAAAAGCUGCACAUAUCUUCACCAUUCGCGUCAAUUUCUCAGCUUCACAGAGCAGCAACAAUAGUCCCUAGAUUUAAUAUUUCAAAGAAUCUUUAACCAUGUUUUGGCGCUAAAACAUCAUAUGAACACAAAUCGUCAUCUCUAUUUCGCUCAAGUAUCAAAAAGCUAAAGAAAAGGGGAAAACAAUCAAUUCCAUCUGAAAAGACACAAAAGGGAGAAACAAAAUAAGGAAACGAGACGAGAAAACUUACAGGCGUUUUGAUAACCAGGGCAUCGGCCGUCUCAUCGCCAGCGAUUCCCCGCCCGUCGGGGCCCGGGAAGCGAUGGUACUCGUCCGGGGCGAGGAACGGGGGCCUCGUCGAGGGGAACGGCAGGUGCCGCUUCGGCGGCUGUCGGAUCUGCCCAGUCGGCUGUGGCGCGCGAAUCCCAGCUGCUCGGCCACCAGACAUCGACCCCCAACCCAAAACCAACAAAAUCACAAGACGAAACCCCACAAAUCACCGAUCUCCAGGCCGGGACAAGCAGAUCGUUCUCCGAUACGGAAUCCGAGCACAAAACCCUCUUUCCUGGUCGGCUUCCAGCAGCGGAGAGGAGCAGAUCCGAUGGCGGCGCCGAAGCGGCGGCGGCGGGGGAUCGGCUGCGUGGGGGCGAUUGGGGCAGGGUCUCGAAUCGGGCUGUCUACGAUCUGUAGAUUGAGGAGUAGAAGGAGGAGGGAGAGGCAGUGGAAGGCGUGUGUGGAGGUGGGAAAGGUGGAGAGCAGGAAACGAAGGAAGCGGAGGGAGGGAGAGAGAGAGAGAGAGAGGGAGGGAAAUUGUUGUGUUCGGAGUUGGGAUGGAUAUGGAGGGAAGACGCGAACCCUCUCUCUCUCUUUGUCUCUGUCUCUCCUAUUAUUAAUUAAGUAAUUUAAUUAUUUAAUUAAUUAGUAUUUCUCCGUGUAAAGCCAUAAAACAAUCAUGUGUUAAUUGCGUAAGUACGCCGCCGUAAGCAACGAUACCCCACUUGGAGGUUCCAUCAUGUGGGUGGACCCUCGGAUCGCAUCUCACGGUCGUCGCGUUUGAGAUGGACUCGAUGAACGGUCGAGAUGUUCCGCUCGAGCAGGUUGCUCUUGUCACAUCAGAAGCGGUGUGGAGAUCAGCCGUUCGAAUCGGCGAUGCGCGCCAAAUCCUCGCGAAUCUUUUCUCUUUUCUUUCGUAACGGGUCAAGACCCCAAGGAGAAGAUCCGCUCCGUCGAGCGACGACCGUCUGAUGUGACCGCGCAGCCUUCCAGGACGGAUCUGGACGGUCGCUGCUGGCAAAGAGACGCGUGCGCGGUCAAGGAUCCAUUUUGCCGGUUGGGUGGGUGGAGCAGCUUCUCGAACCCGUGAUCGCACUGGGGAACAUAGUCGGGCCCACGAUGUAAGAGGCCGUUGAGAGCAGACCAUGUCACCCCGGACAUUUCUCGAGGGUGAUUCAGUCGGACUCGACAAUCUGGCGGCGAAAACAAAAUAAUAUUUAUUUAUAGGGACAAGGAUAAAAAAAUUAGUAAAUAAUAAUAAUAAAAGGGGGCAAACAUGUCAUUUGGUUGAGUUUCCCCGAAGAUAAUGCUAAAUUAUAUGGGAACAAACCACACACUAUUCAUCAACAUUUGAAGAUUACAUUUGCAUAAGAUCAAUAAGAGAAGAGGUCAUAGCUAAAAACUCUCCCAAAUUGGUUUACAAGUUGCAAUCACAUUGUCUUCUGUGCCACUCACUAAACUUGCUUAUUACCCCCCCCCCAUUGACAGCACCCAACAAGUGGAAUCAAAUCCAGAGCUCACUACUGACUCUCUUACCAUAACCUACAGAUCCGUACUCCAAGAAUCUUCUCUGUUGCCUCAGAAUGGAGAACAGCUUCCUCGAAACUUAAAUCAGCAAUAUCUACAACCAUAAGCUACCAAUCACAACCCUUGUAAUGUAGUCAGGAACUCCUGGCAGCCAACAGGAUUAUUUGGCAACAAACCUUGUUAGACAAGAUUGUGCCAACAGAAUUAUUUGGCAUACUACAGUGUAUGCCAAUCUUUUGAAGUGAGACAUCAGUGCUGGGGUACUGAUGUCCUUCAUUGCAGUUGAGCAAUCCACAUUGUUGACAGAGCAGGCACUCCUGAGUACGUGCAAAGUUGGUAAAAGAAGUAAAAUUGAUGACCAAAUCUUUUUAGAGUUUUAAGAUAUUUACCUGUAGUGAAUUACUGUAAACAUGAUGUGAUGAUCCUGGCUAUGAGAGCCAUAGUAGUUGGGUGACCAGAAGCUAAAGAACAGUUCAAACAAUUGGAUAUAGUUACUACUAUAAAAGAGAACAGUCAGGUAAUUAGAAUAUUUCUCACUUACAAGAAAAUAAAAGAAAAAAAGAAGGUAGUCAAAAAGAUUCUUCCAGAACAUAUUCCAUCUUCGGACCUACAUAUUACUUUUCUAACUUGUUUUCUGCAUUUCAAAAAAUAUGAUUGUCUUCCUCCUCCAAUGUACUGUAAAAGAAGAAGAAAUGAAGUUGCAACCUAUAAUGUUGAUACCCACUUAACUACCAGGGGGAAGACACCUAUGUUAUUACUGGCAUCAUCAACUGAUAAAGAUGAUAAACUAGUUAACCAUAUAUUCCAGUUAUGGAUCAUCCAUGUCCAGUUCCAGGUGGCUUCAUGGCAUAAGGAUUUCUGUCGACAAAAGCAUGUAAUCUUUGGUCACAAACCGUCUAUAACAAAGGCUUGCUUCAGUGGAGGCAUGACUCUUACCAAGAUUUCCUGGCUGUUAUUUUCUUUCCUUGCAGGCUUAUUUCUCAUUAUGAGAUACCAGAUUAUGAUUCUGCUGGAGCAGGAAAAGAGCAAGACAUAAAUGUAACAAAUGAUGACAAUUAGAUCCCCUUUUUACGUGAUUAAAAGGGAAAGCUCGCUAGAUUAAGCAGACAGAAACACUGACAAACAUUUGAUGCAUCAUUCAAAAAUCAUCACCAAAAGGAGCUUACAUAAAACAGAACUCUUAUCAUUAAAACUUGAGCAUCAUGAAUAUAUAAAACUAAAGUUUCCCUUAACAGAAGACUAAAGUUCACUUAACAGAAGAAGACUUGAGCAUCAUGAAUAUAUAAAACUCUUCACUGAAACCAUUAAAACUAAAGCUUCCCUAUCACAUAGAACAGCAUGCUCAUCUUAAUACAACUCUAUGUGACUUAGGCUGAUUGAACUCUUAUCAGAAAUCUGGAGGUAUCAUCACGAUCACUAUUGGGCGCACUCCCAAACCAAUAAAAUAGGUGCAAAAUUGAGGAGGGUUACGUAGCCUUACCUUGCUAGCGACAGUCUUGUGGCAACAAAUGAGAAGACUAUCGACCACUGUCAGGAAUGGCCGAGCAGCUUUAAGUCGAGCAACCAAAUAUGCCAAGUGACCUUUUAGGUUAUUACCAAAAAUAAGUGAGUUAUUUUGUCAUGCAAUUCUCACCAGGCUCAUGCAAACACCAUUUUGAUAGAAAAAAAGCACACCAACAUCGAUUCCUAUCUGUGAAGAAACAGAUGUGACAUCCUCUAAAUCUUUAAUCUUAACCCUCUUUUAAGGUAUUUGUUAGUGUCCAACUAUCGUCAACACUCGACAGGUUAACUUUGUAUAUUAAAAAGCAUCAACUAGGCAUAUCCAUGUUCUGAAACCAAAAUGAAACCAAAAGGUAACAAGUAAUCUCAUACUUAACUCUAUUAUUCUUUAAAUUGAAGAGUUAAUAACAAUCCCUAAGAAAUAUCCAGAAUGACCAACGGUUUUUAGAUUCAUGAUAUGCCCACUUGUUAGGUGAUAUGGACUGCAGCAGUACCAGUUGUCAAGAAUAGCCAUGAGAGGCAUGAUCCAACACUGUGUGGGCAGAACCCUCUACUCAGUGGUAGUAUGCUGGCACAUUAAAUUUGUGUACCAAACUGCAUGAUUUCUUGGGUUCUUCAAAUCCAAGGUCCCAGUCCAUUCUGUGCUGAGUAGGUCUGAAUCCAAUCAAUUUUGUCCAUUCUCAUCUGUUCCUUAGAGAAAUGGAUCUUUCGACAUGUAUAGUGUUAUGAUUUGAUGGACUUUAAGAACCCACAUCGUAUCAUGCUUCCUGCUAUAAGAGAAAAAAAAAUACAAUUAUUGAUUUUUUUUAUGUAGAGUUUAUGUGUUUGGUCUUUCAUAAUUAUGUGAUAUAAGAUACUUGUUAUUAGCAAAAAAAUUGUUACUGUUUAACUUGGAUCCAUUGCCACAUCAGCAACAGCCCACUACCAUAUCAUCUUGUAGAUUCACUAUCAUGUCAUCGUGGACAGCUGACAUAGUGGGCUGCCACUGGAGCCUAUAUUGGAUCUAGGUGGACUGACCUUGAGUGUUUUAGCCCAGUCAGCCUUACAGCCCAAAUUAAUAUAAUAGGCUGGAAUCAAUUGAACCCCAUUUAAAUUCGUAUCGAACCUUAAUUGAUGUGACUUAAGUCUGACUUGAACCUAACCUCAAAUUGAUUGAACCAAACCAAUCCCAAAUUGGUGGAAUCCAACCCGGGUGCAAUCAAACUCAGAGAUCUGACCUAACAAUGUUGCAAGUCGGCUCCUUGCUCGGCCCAACCUAAGCACCCUGGACCUGAGCGGGUCCCCACCUAGGCCAUGCUUUUGUUGAUGUGGCUCCAGUCCAGGCAAGAAGCUGGCCUGUAGCUCGGACGGGCCGCAUGGUUGAGCCUUAAUGCCACCAAGUUCGACCACAUUAGGAGUAGAAUUCCAUCAAUUUGAGAUUGAUUUAGUUCAAUCAGUUUGAGGCCAAAUUCAAGUAAGACUUAAGUUAUAUGAAUUAAAGUUCAAACAGAUUUAAAUGUUGUUCAAUUGAUUCCAUUCCAACUUAUUUACAUUGAUUUAGGCUAUAAGGAGGAUGGAACCAGACUACUUAAUGUUGAUCCACUUGAUCCAAUAUAGACUGCAGCAGUGGCAUGUUGUGUAAAUGGUUUUGCUAACACAACAAGGGGUCUGCAUGAUGACAUGGUAGUGGGCACUUGCUGAUAUGGCAGCAGACUCAAGUUAAAUAGAUUGAACCAGAUCAAUUAAGGCCGGUCCACUUAGAUCCAAUAUAGACUGCAGCAGUGGCAUGUUGUGUAAAUGGUUUUGCUAACACAACAACAGGUCUGCAUGAUGACAUGGCAGUGAGCACUUGCUGAUAUAGCAGCAGACUCAAGUUAAACAGAAAUAUUUUCUUUUUCUAAUAACAAGUAUUUUAUAUUAAGUAAUGAUUAACGUCUUAUCAUAUAAACUUUAUAUAAAAAAGUUAUGGAUACCAUAAUUCCAACUUUCAUAUAUUUUCAACAUGUAAAACAUAAUAUAUAAACCUUUUUUUCUUUUAUAACAGGAUGCACAAUAUACACACACACAAAUACAUACAUACAAGGUGGAUCACAUCUGCUAUCAAGUAGUAGUUGUUGUUUUAACCAAAGAUAAAACCAUACUUUAAAUGACUGAUUUACCUUUCCAAUUAUAAAACUAAUAACAAAUAUUUGAAAAUCAUACAUCAAAACUUGUCUCUAUGUUGGUUUCAUACUUAAAAAUGAUUUCUUGUAAUUAUAGGAUUCAUUCGAGUGCAUGUUUAUAUAUAUAUAUAUAUAUAUAUAUAUAGCCGAAAACAACAAGAAAACAGCCAAAUUUACAGAGACGAGAUAAAUCCUUUAAAAAGCAUGAAAAAUAACACUAAAUUUAGCAAAUCCAGAACUUGUGCAUCAAAUAGACCGUGGAUUUGAUCUGCCUCAAACCAAAAAAAUCAAUAAGCAAUAAACCUAAAGAGAAACCAUCACAGUCUUCAACCCCAACCGAAGUUUCACAAAUGCGUUAAAUUUGUCACCCAUGACCGAAUUUGGAACAUAGAAGACAAAGUUUCGAACAUAGUGGUACGUGAGCCAUAUCCGAGAAGAUCAUUUUUGUUACCACAAGAAAGAAGAAAAGGUUAAAUAUUAUAAAAUCCAAAGGAAAAAGAAAAGAAAAGCAAGCAUUUCAUCCUACGAGUGGAGGCAGGGCACCCCAUUUAUCGGUAUCCCAAUACUACAAAGAGAAGAAAAGCUAUAUACGAUCUCGUAGAGAUGGAUUGGGAAAAACACUGACACAAUUUGAAGAGGUGAGGGAUGAUGAGGCCGGCGAUGCCUCCUCCUCCCCGAUUGCUGCGAAACUUGAGGUAUUGGACUUCCUUCGCUGGUAACCACUCAAGUGUUCUCUCUGUUCGUUAAAAGCAAAUAAAUCUUGGGGGGAGUCGAGGAACAGAAGGCGAGAUUUGCAGCCCUAAUUUCAAGCCGAUCGAAUGAGGCCGUGGAGGGAGAGUGGGAGCAGAGAAAAAUGCAGCGGUCGUGCUGGGUAGAAGAACCAAUACUCCAAAUUACACCAUUGGCUACCCGCUUCCGUGAUUGGAUCAUGCGCGGGAAUCUCUAGGUGGGUCCCACUUUAAUUUGCUUUUGAAGAAGGUGAGACUUUGGGCUUGAUUCAUUUUGUUGCCGUGGCGGGCUCCAUCCACGCAUCGCGUUAGGCGGUCCGGCCCAGUGAAAGAGUCCGGAGGGUCGGGUCAGGUUGGGUUCGCGACAUUCUUGGACCGACCGGGGACCAGACGUCGAUGUCGUCGCGGCCAUGGUAGACCGGAGGGAUGGCGGGGGGGUAGGGUGAUUUGCUGGUCCUGGUAAGUGCCAUAGACGUCGCCGCCGUCGUAGCAGACGCCGACGCGGCCGUCGGGGUUGUGGAAGGAAACGGUGGCCUGCGCCACGGCGGAGAGGAUGUUGUCGGAAAGGGAGAGGUUGAACUUGUAGACGGUGGUGUUCUUGAGGUGGAAGCUGGGCUUGGUGGGGGGGAGGACGAGCCAUACGAUGACGACGAUGAGAAGAACGACCAGGACGAAGGCGCCGACGGCCCACGCGGCGAUGGGGAGCGUGCGGCGGUCGCAACAGUCGGAGCAUUUGCUGCACCCACAGCAGCUACUGCGGUGGCGGCUGCAGUACUGUCCCCAUUGUUACACAGAGUGCGAAAGAGGUAGGUGGUGGAGACUUGGAGAAGGAGAAGAACAGAGGAAAUGCAUACGGAUGAAGAGAAUUAAAGAAUAAUAUAUAUAGAUACAUAGAUUCUCUCCCUCCUCCUCCUCCUCCUCCUCCUCCUCAAAGAAAAAGUUCAAGACCUUCUUCUCUUCUGUUCUGAUGGACAAACAAUUACAGCAAUUCUACCAUUUGUUCUUGUCAUGCUUGUUUAAAGACUAUUGGUGAGGAACAGCUAGGCAUGUAUUCUCCACUGUGCUCACACUCGUACCAACCACAAGAGACUUCUCUCGAUGAGGAGGAAGAGUCGGCAGCAGCAACAACGUUAUCAGAUACAAGUUGGCCAUGGCCAAUAGCUGUCUUCUUGAUCACAGGAUCAACUGCUUGACAUUCCCUGACACGAGAAGCCAAGAUUUGCAUCCUGAUGCAGCUCAUAGUUGCCAAUUGACCUGCAAAUUAUUGCUGAAUGAUAGUUGAGGGAUGACUUCUAUUAGUGUCA